CCAGAGCUUUUGGUACUUGCCAGACUCUGCAAUGAUGUGUUGGAAACGGGUUUAUAACAUCAGGAAAAAUCCACACCAAGACAAUGGAUCACUCAGCAAGGCUAGUUUUACUUCCUGCAGGAAGGGUGCAACUCGCCGGCAGUCUUGCCACGAGAGCACACC